GAUGAACGCUGGCGGCGUGCCUAAUACAUGCAAGUCGAGCGAACGGACGAGAAGCUUGCUUCUCUGAUGUUAGCGGCGGACGGGUGAGUAACACGUGGAUAACCUACCUAUAAGACUGGGAUAACUUCGGGAAACCGGAGCUAAUACCGGAUAAUAUUUUGAACCGCAUGGUUCAAAAGUGAAAGACGGUCUUGCUGUCACUUAUAGAUGGAUCCGCGCUGCAUUAGCUAGUUGGUAAGGUAACGGCUUACCAAGGCAACGAUGCAUAGCCGACCUGAGAGGGUGAUCGGCCACACUGGAACUGAGACACGGUCCAGACUCCUACGGGAGGCAGCAGUAGGGAAUCUUCCGCAAUGGGCGAACGCCUGACGGAGCAACGCCGCGUGAGUGAUGAAGGUCUUCGGAUCGUAAAACUCUGUUAUUAGGGAAGAACAUAUGUGUAAGUAACUGUGCACAUCUUGACGGUACCUAAUCAGAAAGCCACGGCUAACUACG
rnacentral:rRNA from 1 species